ACAUGCAAGUCGAGGGGCAGCAUCAUCAAAGCUUGCUUUGAUGGAUGGCGACCGGCGCACGGGUGAGUAACACGUAUCCAACCUGCCGACAACACUGGGAUAGCCUUUCGAAAGAAAGAUUAAUACCGGAUGGCAUAAUUAUUCCGCAUGGGAUAAUUAUUAAAGAAUUUCGGUUGUCGAUGGGGAUGCGUUCCAUUAGGCAGUUGGCGGGGUAACGGCCCACCAAACCUACGAUGGAUAGGGGUUCUGAGAGGAAGGUCCCCCACAUUGGAACUGAGACACGGUCCAAACUCCUACGGGAGGCAGCAGUGAGGAAUAUUGGUCAAUGGACGAGAGUCUGAACCAGCCAAGUAGCGUGAAGGAUGACUGCCCUAUGGGUUGUAAACUUCUUUUAUACGGGAAUAAAGUUAGCCACGUGUGGCUUUUUGUAUGUACCGUAUGAAUAAGGAUCGGCUAACUCCGUGCCAGCAGCCGCGGUAAUACGGAGGAUCCGAGCGUUAUCCGGAUUUAUUGGGUUUAAAGGGAGCGUAGGCGGGUUGUUAAGUCAGUUGUGAAAGUUUGCGGCUCAACCGUAAAAUUGCAGUUGAUACUGGCGACCUUGAGUGCAACAGAGGUAGGCGGAAUUCGUGGUGUAGCGGUGAAAUGCUUAGAUAUCACGAAGAACUCCGAUUGCGAAGGCAGCUUACUGGAUUGUAACUGACGCUGAUGCUCGAAAGUGUGGGUAUCAAACAGGAUUAGAUACCCUGGUAGUCCACACAGUAAACGAUGAAUACUCGCUGUUGGCGAUAUACGGUCAGCGGCCAAGCGAAAGCAUUAAGUAUUCCACCUGGGGAGUACGCCGGCAACGGUGAAACUCAAAGGAAUUGACGGGGGCCCGCACAAGCGGAGGAACAUGUGGUUUAAUUCGAUGAUACGCGAGGAACCUUACCCGGGCUUAAAUUGCAACUGACGGAAUCGGAAACGGUUCUUU
rnacentral:rRNA from 1 species